UACGUAGGGUGCGAGCGUUGUCCGGAAUUAUUGGGCGUAAAGAGCUUGUAGGCGGUUUGUCGCGUCUGCUGUGAAAAUCCGGGGGCUCAACCCCGGACUUGCAGUGGGUACGGGCAGACUAGAGUGUGGUAGGGGAAGACUGGAAUUCCUGGUGUAGCGGUGGAAUGCGCAGAUAUCAGGAGGAACACCGAUGGCGAAGGCAGGUCUCUGGGCCACUACUGACGCUGAGAAGCGAAAGCAUGGGGAGCGAACAGG
rnacentral:rRNA from 1 species